CAGGGAAGAAUCUGUAACGUUGGAUCAAGAUACCAGGAUGAACGUAUUCGACUGUGAAUAUGCAGUGAUCAGCUGGGGAGCAUUAACUAGAACUGUCCCUGAAGACCUGGAGCAUACAUACGAGACGGUAGAUUUUACGGAUUUAUCUGCAGGCCCUGGUCACCGUUGGAGGAGAGAUCCUUCCAUUUAUGCAACAGUGAAGUAACAGCUGAUCAAACAGGUUACAGUUUACCCACUUUGGCCAUGAUGGUGGAAAAUGGUCAAAC